CUCCUCUCGUGCGCCCUCCCCUUUUACUUACUCACAUUCCUACUGUCUCCCUGUCCUUCUCUGUCUCCGUUGGUGGUGCGUGGAUCCACAGGCUGACACUAGGAGGACAGGAACGGGAACAGCACGCCUUGUACUCAACCAGCCAUACCACAGACAUGUCGGACUCCGAGACCGCCGCCGCUCCCGCAGAGGCCCCGGUUCCUGCUCCUUGUGCCAGCAUCAAGGCUGACCUGGACAAAUGUGUGGCUGAGAAGGGAGCGGAGGCAUGCAAAGACCUGAUGGAGGCCUUCGCUGCUUGUGUGAAGAAUGCAGCUGAGGGGACGUCAUGAGCCAGGAGUCGCCCUCCGAUCCUCAAUGUCGACUGCACUGAGUCCUUCAAGUUCCCAGCAUUCCCUUCUGCACAUCAGCACUGGACUAAAUGGCAACAGCGAUGACCAUGAUGAUGGAUGUGACUAACAUUGUGUUGAUUCGGGUCGAGUUUGGGACCUGGCAGCAGUAACCAGAGUUUCCUCCUCUGUCCUUCCCCAACCUCCCACCCCGCCCCCCGUUCAAACCUUUACUGGCGUCCUUCAGUCUCCCGCCAUUCCCCGUCUUCCUCUAUGGCUGAUACGUGGUGCAUUGACUUGUAGACACUUCCAGAGAGCUGUCAUGUAACUUGAAAUGAAUACUAUCAAUGGAAAUAAAAGUAUUAAAUAAU